GAGAUAUUUUGCAGAAAAAGGAAGAGAUGUCUUCAGCUCAAAUGCUAUCAAACUUGUGAAAUAAACAGCCUUGUUGCUCACACAAAGCCUGUUUGGUAGCCUCUUCACAUGGACACACGUGACAUUUGGUGCUGAAGACCUGGGACAGGAGGACUCCAGGAGACUGGUCCCCUGUCCUUGCCCUCACUCCAUGAGGAGAUCCACCUACGACCUCGGGUCCUCAGACCAACCAGCCCAAGGAACAUCUCAUGAAUUUCAAAUUGGGACCCCACUGGAAAUCGGACUGUUCAACCCAGCAGCCACUCCCAGGGCCCCUAGAACUCUGGCCCAAGGCUCUCUGACUGACUCCUUCCCAGAUCGUCUCAGCUUAGCAGCUGAAGACUGAUGCCGUCUGAUCGCCUUGGAAGCCCCCUGGACCAUUACGGAUGCCGAGCUUUGGAUAACUCUUACAGUGGAGGAUUCCCAGCCAUAUGAAAACACCCUAGCUGGACGAUCAGUUCUUAUUAUGAAUCUGACCUCUCAAACUCUACAACCUCGAUGGACUGGACCCUACUUAG
rnacentral:sRNA from 1 species